AUCGGGAGGUCAAGAAGGAGUCAUAGUACCACUUAUCGGGAGGUCUAGAAGGAGUCAUAGUACCACUAAUCAGGAGGUCUAGAAGGAGUCAUAGUCCCACUAAUCAGGAGGUCUAGAAGGAGUCAUAGUCCCACUAAUCAGGAGGUCUAGAAGGAGUCAUAGUCCCACUAAUCAGGAGGUCUAGAAGGAGUCAUAGUACCACUUAUCGGGAGGUCUAGAAGGAGUCAUAGUACCACUAAUCAGGAGGUCUAGAAGGAGUCAUAGUACCACUUAUCGGGAGGUCUAGAAGGAGUCAUAGUCCCACUAAUCAGGAGGUCUAGAAGGAGUCAUAGUACCACUUAUCGGGAGGUCUAGAAGGAGUCAUAGUACCACUAAUCAGGAGGUCUAGAAGGAGUCAUAGUACCACUUAUCGGGAGGUCUAGAAGGAGUCAUAGUACCACUAAUCAGGAGGUCUAGAAGGAGUCAUAGUACCACUUAUUGGGAGGUCUAGAAGGAGUCAUAGUUCCACUGAUCGGGAGGUCUAGAAGGAGUCAUAGUUUUACUGAUCGGGAGGUCUAGAAGGAGUCAUAGUUUUACUGAUCGGGAGGUCUAGAAGGAGUCAUAGUUCCACUGAUCGGGAGGUCUAGAAGGAGUCAUAGUACCACUUAUCGGGAGGUCUAGAAGGAGUCAUAGUAGCACUAAUCAGGAGGUCUAGAAGGAGUCAUAGUACCACUAAUCAGGAGGUCUAGAAGGAGUCAUAGUACCACUUAUCGGGAGGUCUAGAAGGAGUCAUAGUUCCACUAAUCAGGAGGUCUAGAAGGAGUCAUAGUACCACUAAUCAGGAGGUCUAGAAGGAGUCAUAGUACCACUUAUCGGGAGGUCUAGAAGGAGUCAUAGUACCACUAAUCAGGAGGUCUAGAAGGAGUCAUAGUACCACUUAU